rnacentral:rRNA from 1 species
GGCCGCGGGAAUUCGAUUCAGGCCUAACACAUGCAAGUCGAGCGGUAGAGAGAAGCUUGCUUCUCUUGAGAGCGGCGGACGGGUGAGUAAUGCCUAGGAAUCUGCCUGGUAGUGGGGGAUAACGUUCGGAAACGGACGCUAAUACCGCAUACGUCCUACGGGAGAAAGCAGGGGACCUUCGGGCCUUGCGCUAUCAGAUGAGCCUAGGUCGGAUUAGCUAGUUGGUGAGGUAAUGGCUCACCAAGGCGACGAUCCGUAACUGGUCUGAGAGGAUGAUCAGUCACACUGGAACUGAGACUCGGUCCAGACUCCUACGGGAGGCAGCAGUGGGGAAUAUUGGACAAUGGGCGAAAGCCUGAUCCAGCCAAGGCGCGUGUGUGAAGAAGGUCUUCGGAUUGAACCUUUAGGAGGUUGGAGGGAGGGCAGUUACCUAAUACGUGAUGUU